rnacentral:rRNA from 1 species
UGAGGAAUAUUGGUCAAUGGGCGUAAGCCUGAACCAGCCAUCCCGCGUGCAGGAAGACGGCCCUAUGGGUUGUAAACUGCUUUUUCGCAUGAAGAACAUCCUUUACGUGUCAGGGACUGACGGUAAUGCGUGAAUAAGCACCGGCUAACUCCGUGCCAGCAGCCGCGGUAAUACGGAGUGUGCAAGCGUUAUCCGGAUUUAUUGGGUUUAAAGGGUGCGUAGGCGGAUUAAUAAGUCAGUGGUGAAAUACCCCGGCUCAACCGGGGAACUGCCAUUGAUACUGUUGAUCUAGAGUUCGUUUGAUGUGGGUGGAAUGUAGCAUGUAGCGGUGAAAUGCGUAGAUAUGCUACAGAACACCGAUUGCGAAGGCAGCUUACUAGACUGUAACUGACGCUGAGGCACGAAAGCGCGGGGAGCAAACA